UACGGGGGGGGCAAGCGUUGUUCGGAAUUACUGGGCGUAAAGGGCUCGUAGGCGGCCAACUAAGUCGGAUGUGAAAUCCCCAGGCUUAACCUGGGAACUGCAUCCGAUACUGGAUGGCUUGAAUUCGGGAGAGGGAUGCAGAAUUCCAGGUGUAGCGGUGAAAUGCGUAGAUAUCUGGAGGAAUACCGGUGGCGAAGGCGGCAUCCUGGACCGAGAUUGACGCUGAUGAGCGAAAGCUAGGGGAGCAGACGGG
rnacentral:rRNA from 1 species